rnacentral:misc_RNA from 1 species
AGUAGUUUGUUUUUUGAACAGGUUCUGAAAAGAACCUGUU